GAGCCAAGAAAUGUUUUAUUCACUCUCCACCCCCAAAAAAGUCUCUUGCAGCCAGAAGUUGGAAACUCCUACUGCCAAGUGAAAAUGAAAACGUCUAUUCUAGAAGUGACUUAAGGUGGUUUCUAUAAUCAAAUUAAAAUCCAAAUGUGCAUUCAAAAGAACGAUAAAAGGUGGCACUUUGUCCUGCUGGAAAUUCAUGCGAACAGGAGGCCAGAUUGACAGCAAGACUAGGUACGAAAGCGGACUGGAUGUAAGCAGCCCUCCAAAAGCGGACGGGAAAGGGAGAAGCAGCGCCUUCCCGCUCACUUCUCGCGCUUAAUUACGCGAGACCUUCAACAGCACCCCCUUUCCAAAUGUCCUUUAAAUUAACACCACGCGUCCGUCUCUCCUGCAAUUAUUACUCCAGAGUUCUGAACUAAAAUAAACUUCGAAAAA